GGGUGGAUCAGGCCCUCGGCCUCGGAGUGAUCCGGCGGCGGCCGGAGGAUGCCGGAGUACUCGAGCAGGGCGGAGAGCGGCGCCUGGAUUAGGCUGGAUGUCGAGAACGGCAGGCCGAAGCGCCUCGACAAGCCGCCGCCGCUGCCGCCGGAGGAUUCCAUCUCCGACCGAUGAAAACCCUAAUCGGCGAGAGAAUUGGGGGGUUUUGGCAGGCCGGCAGGAUGCUUCUCUCUCCUCUCGACCGUCUCAAUU
rnacentral:misc_RNA from 1 species